rnacentral:rRNA from 1 species
UCUGAAUGGAAGGGCCAUCGCUCAACGGAUAAAAGGUACUCCGGGGAUAACAGGCUGAUACCGCCCAAGAGUUCAUAUCGACGGCGGUGUUUGGCACCUCGAUGUCGGCUCAUCACAUCCUGGGGCUGAAGUAGGUCCCAAGGGUAUGGCUGUUCGCCAUUUAAAGUGGUACGCGAGCUGGGUUUAGAACGUCGUGAGACAGUUCGGUCCCUAUCUGCCGUGGGCGCUGGAGAACUGAGGGGGGCUGCUCCUAGUACGAGAGGACCGGAGUGGACGCAUCACUGGUGUUCGGGUUGUCAUGCCAAUGGCACUGCCCGGUAGCUAAAUGCGGAAGAGAUAAGUGCUGAAAGCAUCUAAGCACGAAACUUGCCCCGAGAUGAGUUCUCCCUGAGACUACAAGUCUCCUGAAGGAACGUUGAAGACGACGACGUUGAUAGGCCGGGUGUGUAAGCGCAGCGAUGCGUUGAGCUAACCGGUACUAAUGAACCGUGAGGCUUAACCUUACAACGCCGAAG